CUUGCUUCUCUUGAGAGCGGCGGACGGGUGAGUAAUGCCUAGGAAUCUGCCUGGUAGUGGGGGAUAACGUCCGGAAACGGACGCUAAUACCGCAUACGUCCUACGGGAGAAAGCAGGGGACCUUCGGGCCUUGCGCUAUCAGAUGAGCCUAGGUCGGAUUAGCUAGUUGGUGGGGUAAUGGCUCACCAAGGCGACGAUCCGUAACUGGUCUGAGAGGAUGAUCAGUCACACUGGAACUGAGACACGGUCCAGACUCCUACGGGAGGCAGCAGUGGGGAAUAUUGGACAAUGGGCGAAAGCCUGAUCCAGCCAUGCCGCGUGUGUGAAGAAGGUCUUCGGAUUGUAAAGCACUUUAAGUUGGGAGGAAGGGCAGUAAAUUAAUACUUUGCUGUUUUGACGUUACCGACAGAAUAAGCACCGGCUAACUCUGUGCCAGCAGCCGCGGUAAUACAGAGGGUGCAAGCGUUAAUCGGAAUUACUGGGCGUAAAGCGCGCGUAGGUGGUUCGUUAAGUUGGAUGUGAAAUCCCCGGGCUCAACCUGGGAACUGCAUUCAAAACUGACGAGCUAGAGUAUGGUAGAGGGUGGUGGAAUUUCCUGUGUAGCGGUGAAAUGCGUAGAUAUAGGAAGGAACACCAGUGGCGAAGGCGACCACCUGGACUGAUACUGACACUGAGGUGCGAAAGCGUGGGGAGCAAAC
rnacentral:rRNA from 3 species